AGGCAGGGAGGCCAUGAGGAGUGCGGUGCAGAGAGGCUGCCUCUCAGGAUUCAGCUUCUGGAGGAGCCGUUCCUGUUCUGUUCUGCUCUCCAUUGCCCCGUCCCACUGACUCUUGACACCUUCUCCAUGUGCCUCUGUCUGCUACCUGGCUAGCUGUCUGGCUCACGAACUCCCCGUGCAGUUAGGAAAUGUGUGCACUGAAAAACCUGCAACCCUGUGCACAACAGCGCUGGCCUCGUCUCCCCGAAUGCAGGCAGGGCUUAUGAUGCAGCUCUCUGCAGGCACUCUCUAGCACGUUGGUAGGCACACAGGAAGCUGUAUUUAUAUAUGUGUGUUGAAUACAUAAAUUUUAACGUGGAAUUCCGGAAGUGGAAGAAGUCUCAUGCUCCUUUCUCCUGACACCUGUGGAAAGCUCUACACUGUCCCUGGCUGCAUCUCUUUGAAUGCUCCCAGGGAUGAGGUGCUCACUCACAAAAUAGCAAUGUCCCUCCUGGGAAAUGUUGACGGUGAAAACAUUAUUUAUGUAUGGCAGCUGCAUUGUGGCUCCCUCUCACGUUUGCCGCAUGGUCUUCGUCAUGGACAGAACUUUGGGGAUCUCUCUUCCAGGGCUUCUCAAAAGGGAGGAAGAUGCCUGCUGGGUAGAGGUGCUACCGGAUCACCCUAACAACCCUCUGGGACCUGUGGCCAUGUGUUCACAACAGCAGCCAUUACAGGUGUUUCCUGAACUCUUGUCGCGAGCCUCUGUCGGCUCCAUCUCAUCGAUCCUCCCAGCAACCCACAAGGAAGCUUCACAGAGAGGCAGAUGCCACACAGGCCACCCACCCAGAUGCAGAGCCAGAUUCCCUGCGUGGACUGGACGGGAGUUUCCCAGCUGGAGUUCUCUCGGCCAAGCUGCCUGUGACAUGGGGUUGGAGGUGCUCCAGAGAGUCAUGGCCACCCCUGGAGGAAGUGACUUGUGGCUGACUGCUCAAGGGGAAGUCCUGUGGCAGUGGAGUCGUCAGCAUUAAUUCAAAUAAGGCUCACUCCAGAGAGGAAAAAGAAGACCAGAACUGAACCAAGCUUGCCCAGUCAUGCAUCCUAAAAUAUCAACUGGAAGGCACUCUCUGUCCCUUGGUGGGCAGUAGGAAAGGCUACCGAAAGGAAGCAUCUAGAGAGGGAAGAAGCAUUUCUCCUUCUAGGAGAACUGACCAACCUUGUAAAGUCUGCAUGCUGACCCUGAUCUCCUGCUCAGAUACAUUCAAGCCCUCCAUUUUUGUGUCCCCAGUCUUAUUCUCCCAAAGAGAAUAGUCUCCCAAGCUCCAUUUUUGUCUAGAUUAGCCAAAGGUCAAUACCAUUUGUCUUGUGCUUUUCCUUCUUUGUCUACAUUUAAAUUGGAGUCAUUGAAAGUUUACAGAGACUUCAAGUUCAAGUUCAAGUUCAACCACCAUAACAAUCACUGCAGUAGCAAUUCUCAAUACCAAGCUCCCAAGCUCCCACUGUGGGCCAAAGCAGGGCACUAGAUGCUUUAGAAAUGCACUCUUGUUUAAUUCUCAAGUGUAGAAAACCUAGCCUGCCUGACUUAAGCAGUAGGGAAUUUAUUGGGUCAUGUAAUUAAACAGUUUUUUAGACCCAGCUCCCUCUAUCCAGGCUCAAAGAAGGUUAUCAUAAUUGGUAUCUAUCUUUCCACUGCUCUCCAUACUUGGUCCAUGGACCCAUUUUUAUGUCCCAUGUA
ensembl:lncRNA LINC01814 long intergenic non-protein coding RNA 1814